rnacentral:rRNA from 1 species
UGAGGAAUAUUGGUCAAUGGACGAGAGUCUGAACCAGCCAAGUAGCGUGCAGGAUGACGGCCCUAUGGGUUGUAAACUGCUUUUAUAUGGGAAUAAAGUGAGGGACGUGUCCCUUAUUGCAUGUACCAUACGAAUAAGGACCGGCUAAUUCCGUGCCAGCAGCCGCGGUAAUACGGAAGGUCCAGGCGUUAUCCGGAUUUAUUGGGUUUAAAGGGAGCGUAGGCUGUUUGUUAAGCGUGUUGUGAAAUGUAAGAGCUCAACUUUUAGAUUGCAGCGCGAACUGGCAGACUUGAGUGCGCACAACGUAGGCGGAAUUCAUGGUGUAGCGGUGAAAUGCUUAGAUAUCAUGACGACCUCCGAUUGCGAAGGCAGCUUACGGGAGCGCAACUGACGCUAAAGCUCGAAGGUGCGGGUAUCGAACAGG